rnacentral:rRNA from 1 species
CGUAGGCGGAUGUCUUAGUCAGAGGUGAAAGCCCAGGGCUCAACCUUGGAACUGCCUUUGAUACUGGACAUCUUGAGUACGGGAGAGGUGAGUGGAACUCCGAGUGUAGAGGUGAAAUUCGUAGAUAUUCGGAAGAACACCAGUGGCGAAGGCGACUCACUGGCCCGUUACUGACGCUGAGGCGCGAAAGCGUGGGGAGCAAACA